AACGGAAGCCAACAAACAUUUUAAUUUGUCGUCGCUUGAAAAGUUAAUUAAUUGUUAUAAAUUAGCAAAGGGAACUCUACCUUGAUAAGCCAAAAGUGAUAAGGAUACACAAGUUCUAGGUUUACAACUGUAUGUAGUUAGUUUGAUAGAAGAAAUAAUUAGUGUUAAUUAGAUGUUGCUAUUUCCUUUGUUCUUCGUUAAUUUUCAUUUUUGUUUCGCGAGUAAUUUACAAUUUGAAAGCAAGUUUCGUAAAUGAAUAUCUCAACGCUGGAGGGAAGAACAACCAAGAAGAAUCAGCCACCUCCACACCCAAAAUUUUCUGGUGGACGUGGCGGUUAUUAUUUCGCAGACAUUAACGACAUGAACUACAAUCAUGGUUACUCCGGCGGCCCCCCACCUGGCUACGGUCCCCCACAGGAAGGUCCCUACUACGGCGGCCCUCCUCCCCCCGACCAAAACUACUAUGAUCCUAACUACGACCCCAAUUACGCCCAACCAGGUCCGCAUCCACCACCACCAGUUAAUCAUACGCAAUACUAUCCAGGCGCCGGCUACCCACACGCUCACCAACACACGAACCCACCCCCUUUCCCUCCACCACAACAACAACCACCGUCCGGGUAUUACGAAGAUCCACAACAGCACCCGCAGCCCCAAUUUGCUCGGAGAGAAACGGCACCACACCAACAGCAGCAUCAGGAGGACACGAGAAUCUUAAGAAAUCCACAUCCCCACAUUCCACUCGGGUCGACAAGGGAAGAAACCUACGAUCCCAGCUUGCCCACUUACAAUGCUACGCCAAUCUACAAUCAGCCCCAGCUCACAGGACCACCACAAAAAACCCCCAUCGUAGCCCCCACUCUCAGCUCAAUCUUUGAAAUAGCGGCGGAACGUGUCUCUAAAAAAAUCUCGGAACAGCAUCAACGCCCAGAACCUGCUGCUGGAGGAGGACAACAUGUCGAUCCUCGCAUACGACAAAGACAAUCGGAAGCGCCACCACCACCCACGAUGAACGAGGGAGGCGGCCACUACACAAUUCAACAACGUGGCGCGGGACAAGAAUGUCAGACUGAAAUUAUUACCGGGGUGGUGACCCAAAUGCAGGAAAUGUUUGGUAUGGUUAGCUCGGAAAUAUUCUUUCAGACGAGCACGGUGGUUGGAGCGCUACCGGCUGUGGGGGACAAAGUGGUCGUCGAGGCAGAACGAGUGUCCGGAAUGCCCUUCAAGUUUAAUGGAAAAAGAGUGCAGAUUCUCUCGAAGGACUUGACCUCAGAGGCUCCCACUUCGACAGGGACUGACAAUUUAGACUUUGAGCGGAGACAGCGCCCUUCGAGAAUGUCGAUGGACUUCGGCCCCCUUCCGGAGCUGCCCAACUCGUUAAAUCUCACUAGUCCGAAAGGGGAACCAGCACCGCCGUUAAAAUCCAUUCUGAAGCGAAACCCACCUCCACCACCCAUGUUGUCGGACCGUGCCCAGGGAAAAGUCGUGUACCGACCGGAAAGCCCGAUUGUGGAAGAACAGAAAUUUGACCGUAACCGUGACCGUCGUGACCUUGAGCCGCGUAAUAGUGCAGGGAAACCUGGCCCUCAUCCCCUCUUCUCGCUCGACUUGAGGAACGACUUCCCCAUAAUCAAGCCCCCCAUUCAACCCCUCCUCUCCAUUCAAGAUCUCUACCCAGAGUUGCUAUAUGUUAAGAAUAACCCGACCAACGGGGAAUCUGACGCUCCACCGACUCUUGUGAGACGUAGGUCGAGGACAAGAUCAAGAUCAAAAGAAAGAAAUGCGAGACCUUCGAAUAGGAGGUCAAGAACUAAAACUCCACCGAGACGGAGGAAAUCAAGGUCAAAGAGUCCAGAGGGGCGAAAAAGGUCACAUUCCCCUUCGAGUCGAAAAAGGGUGAAAUCUCCGAACAGAAAAAGGUCAGUUUCACCCCCAAGUCGAAAAAGGUCACCUUCUCCGCGUCGAAGAAGGUCAAACUCUCCUCGUUCAUCACGAAGAAGGAGAUCAAAUUCUCCAGUUCGAAUUCGAAGGUCAAAAUCUCGGAGUCCAGGUCGCACUCGGAGGUCAAAAUCUCGCAGUCCAGGUCGCACUCGGAGGUCAAAAUCUCACAGUCCAGGUCGCACUCGGAGGUCAAAAUCUCGCAGUCCAGGUCGCACUCGGAGGUCAAAAUCUAAGAGUCCAGUCCGUAUUCGGAGGUCGAAAUCGCCUAUAAAACGGCCUGGAGGAGAGAAAUCUUCGACGAAGACUUCGAGACGAAAAGGCCGUGACGACGAAGGUGGCGACGAAAUUCAAAUCAUAUCAGAGAAGAGGAAAGAGCGCGAGAGACUGGAGCGGGUAUCCUCAUCCCCUGAAGAGCAGGAUCCCGACCAACCAACUAAUAACCCGUUCGGGGCGAAGAGCGAAAUUAAAGCUGUCGUCCAGACCUCCAGUCUUUUUCCCCGAUUUCCCAGAAAAAGCAGUCCGGACGAAGACAUACACCUGAAAUUCUCGGCGCCAGGACCAUCAGAUUUUGACGAGGCGAAGAAGGCCAUUCUAUCAGGAAAAUCGAAUUCGGGGAAUUCAAGUAAACCUAAGUCUGCUCCCCCGAUUCCGAUCAAGUUUCAGAUUGGGACUCCACCAGCGCCCGUACAAGCUCCAAAAAUUGUGCCAAAUCCCACCUUCGGUAAGGUCAUUCGGCCCUCGACAGCUCCCAACAGCGGCGUCCUCCUACAAAACCCCUCCUUUUCUGCGAACCCUUCCACCGUCGUGGCGCAAGUCGAGAGAGCCGUGAAACUCGCAGCGAAAAAGAAAAAGAAGGACGAGCAAGCUCCCGCGUACGUCAUCAAGAGCGAUAAGCCCACCCCGACCAGCACUUUCACCUCGCGUCUGGGGGAGACCAAGGAACAAGAGCAAGCACGUCGCAUCGCCGAGUUGAAGAGUUCCCUCCAGGCGAAGAAACUGGCGCAAAUUCAAGCCCAGGAACAGAUCCUUCUUGAACAAAAGGCCGCCUUGGAGGCGGAGAUUUCCAAGAAUCGCGUCACUGAAGAGAUCUCCGUUCGUCGGGUGGAACUGCAAAAGAGCGUCGAAGGGAAGUUGAAGGACCUCCGGAGCGCGUGGGAGGCAGGGCAGCAGGCCAAUGGGGGUGGUCCCACCGUGAUGGCGACAACGAAGGAGAACGAGGAGAGAAUUCGGGAGGACAUGCAUUACAGGAGGUUUCUAGAAGAGGAGAAGCGUCUCCAGGCCGCUGGUGACACGUACGGAAUAAGUGAACUGUACAAGCGGGAGGAUCGUCGGCGUCGUCGCGUGGAGGAGGAUCGUCUCGUCGAGCUGCGCAUGGAGGAAAUGCGGUUGAAAAAGGAGAAGAAUUGGGAGGCGAUGAAACAGUUGCGAGAAUCGUUUGGGGGGACGGCAGAGCGAGAGACGGAGAUCAUGCGGCUCCGCGAGAUGAGGAAGAAGGAGGAAAUGGCGGAUGAAGAGGCGGCCAGUCUGCUGGAAGAACAGGAGGUAUUUCGUCGCGCUGUUGAACGUUCUCAACGAGGUUCUGAAGGUCCAGUCCGACGACUCGUCAUGGACACGCAGAUGCGUCAACUCGCUGCUGCACAGAUAAGCGUAGGUGAUGGAGAAGUUCGUGGAGAACGGCUGCCGUCACCACAACCUCGGAAAAGGUCGCCUUCUCCAAGAGUAGAAUCGUCCCGACGUCGACGAUCAUCUCGAUCCCGGUCAAGAUCACGAACUCGCGUGUUACGAAGGUCGCGAUCACGAUCUCCACGAUCACGGGUCAAGCGGCAUAGCCGGAGCCGAAGUAGGGAUCGUGGCGACAAGAAAAGUAGAACUCGACGAGACUCUCAAUCUCCUUCUGGACGACGCGACCGAGAAAUGCGGUCCCACCUUGACGCCGAUGCGGCCCGCAUGGCCCUGAAAAUGGAGGAGAUGCAGCGUCACGAGGAAGAAUUGAUGAUGCGGGAGAGAGAAAUUCAAGACCGAAUGCAGUUCAUGCAACAGCAAGAAAUGCUCCAGCAGCAGAUGCAUCAAGAACAACAGUUUCAUCAUCAUGGGCAGCCGCAGUACUUUGACGACCGGGGAGGAGGUCUACACCAGGAAGUCCACUAUCAAGACAGCUUUCUGGAGGAAGAUGACCACCGACCCGAGGCGGUCUACAUGGUGAGAAGGUAUUGAUCUCCAAUGUGCAUGGAUUUUCUCUGCUGGAUUAAUCAAAUUGGAUGGCGAGUUAUAGAUGAGGAGAUCGCUUUGAAAUGAAAAAAUAGGAUUGGACUGAUUGGAGAGAUGCAGUCAGGACUCUUGUUGGAUGACUGAAUAUUAUGAUAAUUAAAAACACAGAUGAAUCUUUUAGUCAUAAUUUUGAUUAACUUAAUUUUGAUUAACUUACUUAAAGUAUAAAUGUUAAUUGUACCUCUUUUUAUAUUCUUUUGAUUUGAUAAAAGAAUUUAAAAAUAAUUGUUUUCAAGUGCCAUGAACGAAUGCAUUUAAGUUUCCCGAGGUGAAAUUUUGAAUGUAAACUUUAUACAUUGAAUAGUUCCUUCUACUCAUGAUACCGUAGUUUUGUAGUUAAUUUAAAUAAUUAUUUUAAUUAAUAAUUUGAAAUUAUAUAGUUAAGUUAGUUAACUAUAUAAUGAUGAAUCUUACAUAAUUCUUGUGUUGUACCUGGUACAUAGAACUUUGUUGGAGAUUUUUUUUCGUUCAAUUAUGUUUGAAAUUGAAUAAAAUAAAUAUUACGAAAUUUUGGAAAA